rfam:Halomonas sp. QHL1 Scaffold1, whole genome shotgun sequence.
AUCCCUCGACAGGGGCGCCCUCCGUUAAGGGUGGGCUGAGAAGCACCCUUUGAACCUGAACCGGAUAACACCGGCGUAGGGAGUCGUGGUAACGCUUAC